AGGAAUAUUUCUCCACAGAGUAUGAAGGUCAAAUGAGAGAAUACAUUUAAAUUAAAUGGAAAAUUUAAAUGGCAAAAAAGGCAAAGCUGUAUUGAAAGUUCUGAGCUUCUCUAUAAGGAGCUUUUUGACUAUGUAAGAAUCCUAUACUCGUUCCCCCUAAAUAUAAAAAAAAAAGUUGAAGGAGGCAGAAGGGAGAGUGAUGCACGAUGGGCGAGGACUUCACCUGCUGUUGCUGGCUUUGAGGAUGGAGGAAGGAGGCCACAAACCCAGAAGCUGGAGCCCCUAGAAGCUAGAAAACGCAGGGACCUGAUUCAUCCCUUGAGCCUCCAGAAGGGACAUAGCCCCACCAGCACCUUGACUUUAGCCCAGUGAGAUCCUCUUAGGACUUUUGGCAACCAGAACUAUAAGACGGAAAUGGAAGCCACUGAGUCUGUAGCUGUUUGCUGCAGCAGCAAUAGAAAACUAAUGCAGAGCCCAAGAAAUCACUGGUGAUGAGAUGGGGAAGUGGGCUCAGGAGGUCUGGAUCUGUGAUGAGAUGGGGAAAGUGGGGGAGGUCUGGAUCUGUGAUGAGAUGGGGAAAGUGGGCUCAGGAGGUCUGGAUCUGUGAUGAGAUGGGGAAAGUGGGCUCAGGAGGUCUGGAUCUGAGUUGGGGAUCUGGAGUGGAAGGGGAAUUCAUUUGUUCAUUGUCUAUCCUUUUGCAUUGAUUCAGUUUUUUUUCCAUAUAUAUAUAUGUGAAUUUCACAAUAAAAGUUUUUUCCAAAAUAAAAGAAACAAAAGGGGCUUUUUGCAACUCAAUUCCUAUCUAUGUCUGAGUCCACUUGUAUUGAAUGAGUCUUUCUGCUAACGUCCUUAUAUUUGGGUGACAAUCUGAAUGUCAGUGACCAAUCAGAGCAGAGGCAGACCUUGGAGUGGGCAGGGCAUCCUGAGGGCCCUGAUUCCUGCCAUGAGGCAUAACCCUUUAGAUGCCAGACCAUGGGGAGGUCCAGGGGUUGCAGGGGAGGGCUGUGCAUCUGCAAUGACUCUCAGGGGGCUCCCGGUGGUGGCAAUUGGUGAAUCUGCACGGCAGUGUUUCAAUAUUGUCACAGCCCUGCUGUCUCUCAUGCUCUCAAAAAGCAUUUCUCUUACCUGUGACAGACUUCCUAUACCUAACAGCUUGCAAAAAUGUUCCAGGUUAACGAGAAUAAUCUCUCGGAGCCAUACCUCCCUGCUUGGGGUCUCAGUUUCCCCAACUGUCUCCAGACAAGUUAGGCUAGAAGGCCCCUGAGCCUCAGCCCCUCUAUACCCCUCCUGUCACCCAGACCUGAUCUGGGGCUUGCACCCUGGGUGCAGCAUGACAGGGGUGGGCAGGGUCUGGCUCUGGGCCAGAGGACCCUUUCUGAUGGACUUCAGCUGUUGGCCUUCCAGGGGAGACUGAUCAACCUCACAAGAGUCAUACGGUGAGUAGCGGUGGGCAAAUCCAUCCCCCUCAUCUUAGAUUUAUGGGGAGACAGAGAGAAAGAGGAGACACUCCAGGAAGACCUGCAGGUGGGAGUACCAGGUUGAAACCAAGGACACCUUCCUGGAGGAGCUGCUGUUUGAGCCAGCUCUGAGAACAGGUGGGGACAGGACUGGAGAGGAGAAGGGUGUCCCCUAUGAGCAAAGACUGGCCACCACCCAAUCUAACACCCCCACAGGGCCCCUGUGGCAUCCCUGUCCAGUCCCUGUCACCACCCAGUUUUUCCCUCUGGACCCAGGAAUUCAAAGUAAGCAAGGAGGUCCGCUGCUCCAGUUGGCUGCAUAUAAUUACAACCUUGAGCCCAAGCAGCACUUUGGGUCCUGGUUUGGGACCAUGAAGCGGCUCGGUGAGACUGAGAGGUAAGGCCAGGGCAGGAAUUGGGAUAGUGGGAUUGAACUCUCCCUGGGGGCCAGCCUCAGAAAGCCUGUGGCCAUGGCCUCUUGGUCAACAUCAGAUCCUGUGGUCUGGCAAUGCCUGGGGUACCCAGACCUCACUCUGGACAGGCCCUGGGAGGGGGCCCUGGUGAGAUUCCUGGCAGCCUCACAGCCACUCUUCUGUCCAUAGCUACAACAUGUCAUGCCAGCUGGAGGCUCCAUCCCAGUUGGCUGGGAGCACAAAGGCCAGGAAGAUAGACAUCACCCACCACAGGAGCCAGUCGGGUCCUGAACCAGGGCGGGCAGAGGUUGGCUGCCUUGGGAUAUGGGUGGGCUCAGGGAGUCAGACAGCAAGGGACUAGCCUCCCAUCCUACUGCUGACCAGCCCUGUGACUGGGGAGAGUCACCUUACUUCUCUGGGCCUCAGUUUCCCCCUCUGUGGAGUGACACUAAAUGAUCUCUCUGGAGACUGGGAUCAAUAGGGCACUGGUGAUUGACCAGGCACUCAGCACAUGCCUGGAGCACACGGUGCAGGGCUGUGGUGGGGAGGUGGCCUGAGUUCCUGGGGAGUCACCCAUGUGUGCCUGCCGUUCUGACCAGCCACCAGGCACUCAGGGCAGAGCCCACUACCAGCAGCAGCUCACACCCCGAUACCAGCUCAGAGGCGGCCCCUAGCUCAGCAGCAGGGACAUCACGGACACUUUAAGCUGCUACUAGGGUGGCUUCUCCAGCUCCCACGUGGAGAGGGGUCCCAGCUGAGUCCCACUCACGUGGAGUCUCAUGCCCAUGAAA
rnacentral:lncRNA from 1 species